AUCCCAGAUGAAACUCCCUUGUAUUUGUCUGAUUCAUGGGAGGCGAAAAUUGACAAUGGAAGUUUCUCUGAUAGUACCUUUUUCCUUGUUUGGAAGGUGUUCUAAUAGUUGCUCUCCUUACAUGA
rnacentral:snoRNA from 1 species